rnacentral:rRNA from 1 species
AACGAACGCUGGCGGCAUGCCUAACACAUGCAAGUCGAACGAGACCUUCGGGUCUAGUGGCGCACGGGUGCGUAACGCGUGGGAACCUGCCUUUAGGUUCGGAAUAACUCAGAGAAAUUUGAGCUAAUACCGGAUGAUGUCUUCGGACCAAAGAUUUAUCGCCUUUAGAUGGGCCCGCGUUGGAUUAGCUAGUUGGUGGGGUAAAGGCAUACCAAGGCGACGAUCCAUAGCUGGUCUGAGAGGAUGGUCAGCCACACUGGGACUGAGACACGGCACAGACUCCUCCGGGAUGCAGCAGUGGGGAACAGUGGACAGUGGGGGGAGGCCUGAAGCAGCAAUGACGGGUGAGUGAUGAAGGCCUUAGAGUUGUAAAGCUCUAUUAACCAAGAUGAUAAUGACGGUAUCGGGAGAGUAAGCCCCGGCUAACUACGUG